GAGAAAUUAUUAAUGCCCCGCCCCGUCGUGCCCCGCCCAGCCCCAUUGGCGCUACGCCACUGUUUGAAUCCCAUCACCAUGGGAACCUGUUACUAAAAUGUUUGGAUCCCACUACUGGCUGGUAUCCGGAUAAAUUUGCCCAACCACAAUCUGCGGCAGGUUCUCUGGGCUGCCAUGAAAAUGUCAGAGAAUCAGCAGCAGAUUGUGGUCCAGGAUGGGUUUGGGAAUUCAGUUCCUGCAGUGAAAAUUGGGACAGCUUCUGCAUAUCGAAUGGAACUGUACUGACUGAAAGAGCAUUGCAUACACCUCCUCCAAGUGCUGACAAGGUUGGGGAACUCAAGGAAUCUGUGUGUAGUUACCAGCAUGUGGCUCGGCUGAGAUAGGAUGCAGUGGAACAAGCUGACAAGCUACACUCUACAGUUCUCAACUUGAACAGAUUGAUGUGUGAUAUUUUGCAUAAUGUAUUCUGCUUCUGCAAGCCUUGGAGAAAGGCAAAGAGCUAUGUAAGACAUUAAACUCUCACCUCCAAUA